rnacentral:sRNA from 1 species
CUCACGGCCAGCCUUUACGAGCAAGUAUCUUGAUGUAGCAAAGAAGCUUGCUGCACAUUUGCAAACUAUAGGGGUUCUAGCGUAAAUCUCCUCAGUGAUAUCAAAGCCCUUGUACACCCACGGUCAGCCAUUCGACAUCAAAGGGAUGGGGGCGGAGAACGAGAGAAAGGAAAUAUAUAAAGGUAUAUAAGACUGGUUAGACAUACUUUCCGCUUAAUGGCAGAUUAACGGAGAACAGCAACCCAACAGACAAAUGUUAGAAGGGUUGAAUAAUAAUAACAAUGAUCAGGCAAGAGCGGGCGGUCCAAAAAAUCAAUGUCGCUACAGCAACAACGACAAGACAUGAAACACUGAGGCAAAAUAUUUCUAAGGAAGCCAGUGACGUAGUGGGACCAGACCGUGGGAUGUUAUCUACCUAAUGUCCCUCAGAUAUUAAGAAUCAAGACUCUGACCUACUAUCUUUUCAAGGAGAGGAGAAAUUGGAGUGUUUUUUUCGAGCGCAUGAAGCGAUAUGCAGCAUACAGCCCAAGUGAUGGUUCAUAGCAUGGCCAUUAUUGGGCUCAUCCCCAUUACAAGAUCUGGAGCCAUGGGGCGUUUAGUUAUUAGUUGAAUUGCGAAAGCGGAACAUACAUAAAUAAGCUUAGGAUGGGUGCAUCCGAUGUCGG